AAGAAGCGAAGCGGUGACGUGGAGCAAACCUCAGAAAGCCAAUCUCAGUUCGGAUUGUAGGCUGCAACUCGCCUACAUGAAGUUGGAAUCGCUAGUAAUCGCGAAUCAGAAUGUCGCGGUGAAUACGUUCCCGGGUCUUGUACACACCGCCCGUCACACCAUGGGAGUCGGAAAUGCCCGAAGUCAGUGACCCAACCGUAAGGAGGGAGCUGCCGAAGGUGGAGCCGGUAACUGGGGUGAAGUCGUAACAAGGUAGC
rnacentral:rRNA from 1 species